AUCCCUGGCCUCCAGGUAUUCCAGGAUAAAAAAAAACUUCUCGUUUACAAGUGAGCCAAUUGACACCCAGCGGUUCUUGUUGCCUGAAGUGUGCAGUCCUGAGUCCAAGUUCUACUUUUUAGUGAGUUCCUAGCUUCCCCUGGGUACUGUGCAGAACCGUGGAUGUUGGCUUAUCAUCAUGGAGUAAUGAGAGGGGAACACUGCCUUCUUCUCAGGUGGAUUUCUCUGUACCUCCAA